GCUGACGAGUGGGGGGACGGGUGAGUAAUGUCUGGGAAACUGCCCGAUGGAGGGGGAUAACUACUGGAAACGGUAGCUAAUACCGCAUAACGUCGCAAGACCAAAGAGGGGGACCUUCGGGCCUCUUGCCAUCGGAUGUGCCCAGAUGGGAUUAGCUAGUAGGUGAGGUAACGGCUCACCUAGGCGACGAUCCCUAGCUGGUCUGAGAGGAUGACCAGCCACACUGGAACUGAGACACGGUCCAGACUCCUACGGGAGGCAGCAGUGGGGAAUAUUGCACAAUGGGCGCAAGCCUGAUGCAGCCAUGCCGCGUGUAUGAAGAAGGCCUUCGGGUUGUAAAGUACUUUCAGCGGGGAGGAAGGUGUUGUGGUUAAUAACCGCAGCAAUUGACGUUACCCGCAGAAGAAGCACCGGCUAACUCCGUGCCAGCAGCCGCGGUAAUACGGGAGGGUGCAAGCGUUAAUCGGAAUUACUGGGCGUAAAGCGCACGCAGGCGGUCUGUCAAGUCGGAUGUGAAAUCCCCCGGGCUCCAACCUGGGAACUGCAUUCGAAACUGGCAGGCUGGAGUCUUGUAGAGGGGGGUAGAAUUCCAGGUGUAGCGGUGAAAUGCGUAGAGAUCUGGAGGAAUACCGGUGGCGAAGGCGGCCCCCUGGACAAAGACUGACGCUCAGGUGCGAAAGCGUGGGCAGCAAACAGGAUUAGACACCCUGGUAGUCCACGCUGUAAACGAUGUCGACUUGGAGGUUGUUCCCUUGAGGAGUGGCUUCCGGAGCUAACGCGUUAAGUCGACCGCCUGGGGAGUACGGCCGCAAGGUUAAAACUCAAAUGAAUUGACGGGGGCCCGCACAAGCGGUGGAGCAUGUGGUUUAAUUCGAUGCAACGCGAAGAACCUUACCUGGUCUUGACAUCCACGGAAUUUGGCAGAGAUGCCUUAGUGCCUUCGGGAACCGUGAGACAGGUGCUGCAUGGCUGUCGUCAGCUCGUGUUGUGAAAUGUUGGGUUAAGUCCCGCAACGAGCGCAACCCUUAUCCUUUGUUGCCAGCGGUCCGGCCGGGAACUCAAAGGAGACUGCCAGUGAUAAACUGGAGGAAGUUGGGGAUGACGUCAAGUCAUCAUGGCCCUUACGACCAGGGCUACACACGUGCUACAAUGGCAUAUACAAAGAGAAGCGACCUCGCGAGAGCAAGCGGACCUCAUAAAGUAUGUCGUAGUCCGGAUUGGAGUCUGCAACUCGACUCCAUGAAGUCGGAAUCGCUAGUAAUCGUGGAUCAGAAUGCCACGGUGAAUACGUUCCCGGGCCUUGUACACACCGCCCGUCACACCAUGGG
rnacentral:rRNA from 1 species